GCGAAAACUUUACAAUGCUGGCAACAGCGAUAAGGGAACCUCGAGUGCCAGGUUACAAAUCUGGCUGUCGAGAUGCCUAAAAAGCAUUUCAUAGCAAGGGCCGGGCAAGACCGGUGCCAGCCGCCGCGGUAACACCGGCGGCUCGAGUGGUAACCGUUAUUAUUGGGUCUAAAGGGUCUGUAGCCGGCCGGAUAAGUCUCUUGAGAAAUCUGGCAGCUUAACUGUCAGGCUUUCAGGAGAUACUGUCUGGCUCGAGGCCGGGAGAGGUGAGAGGUACUUCUGGGGUAGGGGUAAAAUCCUGUAAUCCUUGGGGGACCACCUGUGGCGAAGGCGCCUCACCAGAACGGCUCCGACAGUGAGGGACGAAAGCUAGGGGCACGAACC
rnacentral:rRNA from 1 species